rnacentral:rRNA from 1 species
CUCUAGGUCCUACUGGCCCGAUCUCAUCUGAUCUCAGGAGAUAAUCAAGGCCGGGCCUGGGCAGGACUUGGAUGGAAGACCGCAGGGAAUAUAGGUGCCACAGGGG